AGCGAACGCUGGCGGCAGGCUUAACACAUGCAAGUCGAGCGGGCAUCCUUGUGGUGUCGGCGGCAGACGGGUGAGUAACGCGUGGGAACGUGCCCUUCGGUUCGGAAUAACUCAGGGAAACUUGAGCUAAUACCGGAUACGUGCGAGAGCAGAAAGGUUUAUCUGCCGAAGGAUCGGCCCGCGUCUGAUUAGCUAGUUGGUGAGGUUACGGCUCACCAAGGCGACGAUCAGUAGCUGGUCUGAGAGGAUGAUCAGCCACACUGGGACUGAGACACGGCCCAGACUCCUACGGGAGGCAGCAGUGGGGAAUAUUGGACAAUGGGGGCAACCCUGAUCCAGCCAUGCCGCGUGAGUGAUGACGGCCUUAGGGUUGUAAAGCUCUUUUCUCCGGGACGAUAAUGACGGUACCGGAGGAAUAAGCCCCGGCUAACUUCGUG
rnacentral:rRNA from 1 species